CUUGAUUGUUGAUUCAUAGGGUUAGUUUCAUGAUCAUGGUCUCCCGACCUCUAAUCCUUUACCUAAGUUGAACCUUACAACUACAUCAUUUAGCGGGGAUGUAAUGAUUCAAUUAGGUUAUUUAAGCUAUCACCCCAUGCGUGAACCAAGUAAGGUAUCUAAGUAUAUUCCUAUCCUAGACACUAAUUCAAAUUCCUUAUUUCAU
rnacentral:lncRNA from 1 species